CCAGACUCCUACGGGAGGCAGCAGUGGGGGAUAUUGCACAAUGGGGGGAACCCUGAUGCAGCGACGCCGCGUGGGCGAUGGAGUGCUUCGGCAUGUAAAGCCCUAUCAGCAGGGAAGAAAAUGACGGUACCUGACUAAGAAGCCCCGGCUAAAUACGUGCCAGCGGCCGCGGUAAUACGUAUGGGGCAAGCGUUAUCCGGAUUUACUGGGUGUAAAGGGAGCGUAGACGGCAGUGCAAGUCUGGAGUGAAAGGCGGGGGCUCAACCCCCGGACUGCUCUGGAAACUGUACGGCUGGAGUGCAGGAGAGGUAAGUGGAAUUCCUAGUGUAGCGGUGAAAUGCGUAGAUAUUAGGAGGAACACCAGUGGCGAAGGCGGCCUGCUGGACGGUAACUGACGCUGAGGCUCGAAAGCGUGGGGAGCAAACAGGAUUAGAUACCCUGGUA
rnacentral:rRNA from 1 species